AUGACCAAUCAAGGAUCAUCUUCAACCUCUCGCUAUGCCAACACCCUAGUCUCUUCCUGUGUCCGUGUUAUCAUGUUCAGAUCACCAUAUCUUAUCUGUUUCUCAAUGAAAAUCCCAAAUCUAUACAUCAAAGUUGUAGUACUCUUAACAAGAAAUAACAUAGCAUCUUUAAUUUCCUCAAAUGGUCAAGCCAUCACACAGAAAAUGGACAUGAAAGUCACAGAUUCACAUGUUUCACAAAAUUUUCAGAGAUGCACGCAAACUCAUUUUUCACACAAAAUCCACUUCAUACCUAAUGUAUGGGCCAACUAUAUGUGUAUGAUCGUGUUCAUGAAGUCCUAA